rnacentral:lncRNA from 1 species
GUGGGAAAAGCCAACGAUUGUCUAUUCUCUUCAAAACAACCAAACAACAGGUAGCUUCUACAUAUUUAUGAAAUUUGGUAGCUUUUCCGAGAACCAAAUUAUUUUAUUUCAUGACCAUUGUUUGGGGUCAUCUCAUCCACAGUGUAGAAUCUGGGGUGGGGGUCAUCCACAGUGAGUGCACCCGACCAGUUAUUAACAUUCCUAACAGAAGAAACCGUCGUGCCUUCCUCAAGUUGGGUGGUGAGGUAAUGCCACCGAAUUAGAAGAUAGUAUUCUGUAGAAAGCCAUCCUUCCUCUCAAAUGCUGUAUAAAAAUUGCAUUUGGUUGUCAAAGUGGACAGCAGCAGCAGUAGCAGAAAGAUUAAAAAGACAAAAAUGAACCGUAUUUUGAGA